UAUAUUUAUUUAUUUACUUAUUUGGAGAUUAAAUUAAAGUGCACCAUAAUCAAAGAAAAUCAGGUUUUCUAAAAAAAAAAGUCAAAUGAAAAGAGCAUGUUCAACAUAAAACAAAUAUGUGAACACUUCAACACGUGGAUGCAUACAUUUUGCAAACUCCAAGUUGAACCUGCUGCAGUUUCCCUCCCCCACCCCUCUGUUCAUGUGUAUGUGUGUGUGUGUUAAGCACACAUCCCUCACAGCGCCUCAUUCAACUCAUGAACGCGCGGCAUUUGCAAACACGUGCUAAUGACGCAAUCAAUUGGAGACGCCUUUUCCCGCGAACUCAUCUCUCCUGGGAGAGCAGUCUUUAUAGGAAACAUGCCCUUUGUCUUCAUGCUGGGAUUAAGAAAAAACAGAAAGCGUAAAAUACCUCAAGAGGAUGCAGAACAUUACAUUUGUUGUAAAAGUGACAAACCUGCAAGUGCAAUUCAUCAACAAUUACAAAGGAGGAUGAGUUUUCACCACUGAAGCUUUAUUCAGAGGGGAUUUUGUUCUUGAGUACAAGUUUGGGUGCAUGGAUGCAUCGAAAGAAGAUGGGUCUUUUGGGAGACUUGUAAAUGAUGACCACAAAGCUCCUAACUGCAAAAUAAAAAUCAUAUCUUUGCUGUGUGCAACAUACUUCCAGGAGAAGAUAUAACCUACAAUUAUGGAGAUUCUGGUUAUGUCCCAUAAUGCUUCUGUCUUCUCACCUGUUUUGGAC